GCUUGCUAGCUGGGUUAAGGUUAGGGUAUAGGCGGCAGGCCUCUAGGGGCCAUUAGAUGCUUGCUAGCUGGGUUAAGGUUAGGGUAUAGGCGGCAGGCCUCUAGGGGCCAUUAGAUGCUUGCUAGCUGGGUUAAGGUUAGGGUAUAGGCGGCAGGCCUCUAGGGGCCGUUAGAUGCUUGCUAGCUGGGUUAAGGUUAGGCUAUAGGGGGCAGGCCUCUAGGGGCCAUUAGAUGCUUGCUAGCUGGGUUAAGGUUAGGCUAUAAGGGGCCAUUAGAUGCUUGCUAGCUGGGUUAAGGUUAGGGUAUAGGCGGCAGGCCUCUAGGGGCCAUUAGAUGCUUGCUAGCUGGGUUAAGGUUAGGGUAUAGGCGGCAGGCCUCUAGGGGCCAUUAGAUGCUUGCUAGCUGGGUUAAGGUUAGGGUAUAGGCGGCAGGCCUCUAGGGGCCAUUAGAUGCUUGCUAGCUGGGUUAAGGUUAGGGUAUAGGCGGCAGGCCUCUAGGGGCCAUUAGAUGCUUGCUAGCUGGGUUAAGGUUAGGGUAUAGGCGGCAGGCCUCUAGGGGCCAUUAGAUGCUUGCUAGCUGGGUUAAGGUUAGGCUAUA